UACGUAGGGGGCGAGCGUUGUCCGGAUUUAUUGGGCGUAAAGCGCGCGCAGGCGGUUCGGAAAGUCGGAUGUGAAAAUCCGGGGCUCAACCCCGGACGUGCAUCCGAUACUUCCGGACUGGAGGCAGGUAGGGGAGAGCGGAAUUCCCGGUGUAGCGGUGAAAUGCGCAGAUAUCGGGAAGAACACCCGUGGCGAAGGCGGCUCUCUGGGACGGUACUGACGCUGAGACGCGAAAGCGUGGGGAGCGAACAGG
rnacentral:rRNA from 1 species